GCACGGGGGGAACGCGAAGAACCUUACCAGGUCUUGACAUCCUCUGAAAACCCUAGAGAUAGGGCUUCUCCUUCGGGAGCAGAGUGACAGGUGGUGCAUGGUUGUCGUCAGCUCGUGUCGUGAGAUGUUGGGUUAAGUCCCGCAACGAGCGCAACCCUUGAUCUUAGUUGCCAUCAUUAAGUUGGGCACUCUAAGGUGACUGCCGGUGACAAACCGGAGGAAGGUGGGGAUGACGUCAAAUCAUCAUGCCCCUUAUGACCUGGGCUACACACGUGCUACAAUGGACGGUACAAAGAGCUGCAAGACCGCGAGGUGGAGCUAAUCUCAUAAAACCGUUCUCAGUUCGGAUUGUAGGCUGCAACUCGCUCUACAUGAAGCUGGAAUCGCUAGUAAUCGCGGAUCAGCAUGCCGCGGUG
rnacentral:rRNA from 1 species